rnacentral:rRNA from 1 species
GAUGAACGCUGGCGGCGUGCCUAAUACAUGCAAGUCGAGCGAACAGACGAGGAGCUUGCUCCUCUGACGUUAGCGGCGGACGGGUGAGUAACACGUGGAUAACCUACCUAUAAGACUGGGAUAACUUCGGGAAACCGGAGCUAAUACCGGAUAAUAUAUUGAACCGCAUGGUUCAAUAGUGAAAGACGGUAUUGCUGUCACUUAUAGAUGGAUCCGCGCCGCAUUAGCUAGUUGGUAAGGUAACGGCUUACCAAGGCAACGAUGCGUAGCCGACCUGAGAGGGUGAUCGGCCACACUGGAAAUGAGACACGGUCCAGACUCCUACGGGAGGCAGCAGUAGGGAAUCUUCCGCAAUGGGCGAAAGCCUGACGGAGCAACGCCGCGUGAGUGAUGAAGGUCUUCGGAUCGUAAAACUCUGUUAUUAGGGAAGAACAAAUGUGUAGGUUACUAUGCACGUCUUGACGGUACCUAAUCAGAAAGCCACGGCUAACUACGUG